GAUGGCUGUCCUCAUGAUACUUACAUUCUAGCAGAAGAAACGUCUGUCUCCUGCUAGAAUGUAAGUAUCAUGAGGACGGACAUC
rnacentral:pre_miRNA from 1 species